rnacentral:lncRNA from 1 species
UCAUAUUUAUUUCAGAAUGAUGUCACUGUUUAAUAUAUCACAUAUCACCUAUCAAUAUUUCAAUCCUCCCAAUACACAAAAUCUCUCUGCAUUUACAUCAUAAACUGAUUGCUAAGGACAAUUGAAGAGGCAUCUAUACUACAAUGACAGAGGAUAUUUGCCGCUAGUGAAACCAAUUGGGCUUUCCACACGCCUUGUCUUCAAGAAUCGCUGAAUAAAUACUGAAAAUGCAUCAGGUUUAAGAACCUGGUACAUAGAGAAACAGAACACUAAGUGCUUCUAUCUCCAGCGGCUUCAGUACUUGUGUCCGAAAUAAUGAGAGAAUCAUGACAUCAGUUUCAACAAUUCCACUAUCUGCUAAUGGAAACUAAAAAAAUUAUCUAGACAACCCAAGCAAAACAUCGUGUUCAAACUAAUUGUGAGGGCACUGCCAAAUAAUCAGAAAAAUCACAAAACUAAAUGGAUUCACGAUGCCUGCAAAACAACAAUGGUCCAAGAGAUCUUGACCUUCUCCUUCCAGAGCAGCAAUCUCAGAGUCACAUCCUGGACGGACUGGG